CGUCUUAUUAAAAAAAUUUUGCUUACUUUAUUUUAUCUUAUAAAUUAGUAAACAAUUAACAUACAAGCUAUAAAGAAGCUUGGCUCUGACUUAAAAUAUAAUGAAAACUAAAGAAUACACAUGGUUUUUAUUGAAAAAAGCGAGGUGGAAGUUAUUUACUUUUAACUAAAAUAAUUGAGAGUUAUGUUUCUUCCAUGAUAUUAUAGUUUUACAUAAUGUCUUGAAAAGUCCCGCUAACACCAGUGCUGAAGAUUAAAAAGAAGUGAAAACUUGCUUUAGUUUAGUUUGUUUAGAUCUGGUUAACUUGGUGCCAGCAUCCGCGGUUAAACCAAGAUGAUCAAAUUAUAUACUUACGGUGAAAAAAUAGUUAAAUUUUAAUAAGUUUACUGAAUAUUUAUAUAAGAGUAAAAUCUAAAUAUAGAUAAAAAAUUCUAUUUGAACUUAAAUAUUGAAGCUAUGAAAACCUUGAGGGAAACUGGGAUUAGAUACCCCAUUAUUCUUGGAUAUAAAAUAAUUAUAAUUUACCAGAGUACUAUGAAUUAACAGUUUAAAACUUAAAGGGCUUGGCGGUGUUUUAGACCUCUUAGGGGAACCUGUCUCAUAAUCGACAGUCCACGUUAAACCUGACCUUCUUUUGCAUUCAAUUUGUAUACCGUCGUCGUCAGGUAACUUUUUAGAAAAUAGAAGUUAGCAACCAAAUAGUAUUAAGUUUAUACGUCAGAUCAAGGUGCAGUUAAUAAGAAGGAGAGGAUGGGUUACAAUUAUAUAAUUAUAAUUACGAAAACUUUUUUGAAAUAAAACUAUGAAGGAGGACUUAAAAGUAAGAUAAGAUAUAUAAAUACUCUGAAUCAGGCUCUGAAACGUGCACACAUCGCCCGUCGCUCUCGCUGAAAAGUGAGAUAAGUCGUAACAUAGCAGGGGUAAUGGAAAUUGUUCCUAAAU
rnacentral:ncRNA from 1 species